GGACUAGAUCAACCGGGAGAUCGUCUGCUUUGCAUGUAGGGCCGCGGGUUCGCGUCCCGGCAGGUCUACCA
rnacentral:tRNA from 1 species